rnacentral:rRNA from 1 species
GAUGAACGCUGGCGGCGUGCUUAACACAUGCAAGUCGAACGAAGCACUCUACUUGAUCUCUUCGGAGUGAUUGUUUUGUGACUGAGUGGCGGACGGGUGAGUAACGCGUGGGUAACCUGCCUCAUACAGGGGGAUAACAGUUGGAAACGACUGCUAAUACCGCAUAAGCGCACAGGGUCGCGUGACCUGGUGUGAAAAACUCCGGUGGUAUGAGAUGGACCCGCGUCUGAUUAGCCAGUUGGUGGGGUAACGGCCUACCAAAGCGACGAUCAGUAGCCGACCUGAGAGGGUGACCGGCCACAUUGGGACUGAGACACGGCCCAAACUCCUACGGGAGGCAGCAGUGGGGAAUAUUGCACAAUGGGGGAAACCCUGAUGCAGCGACGCCGCGUGAGCGAAGAAGUAUUUCGGUAUGUAAAGCUCUAUCAGCAGGGAAGAAGAAAUGACGGU